AGCAGCGUGGCUCAGUGGAAAGAGCCCGGGCUUGGGAGUCAGAGGUCGUGGGUUCGAAUCCCGGCUCUGCCG
rnacentral:tRNA from 1 species